rnacentral:lncRNA from 1 species
AACUCAUUAGCAGCCGCUUGAAGCAAUCUCAAACCAAUGUCUCUUGCAUCACAUGCAACUCCACCCGAUCUAACUACGAUAGGUACAUACAUUUUCUUCUUUUUAUAUAUAAUAAUCUUAAACAUUGUCAGUUAUCUUCAAAUUAAGCCUUUUAUUUUGAUGAAUUGGAUCUAGAUCUAUAUUUAUUAUUAAUAAGUAUUAUAUAUGGUUUUGUGUUUGCAUAAUCAUCUCUCACUAACAUGUGAUCAUUUUGUUGUUUUCAGGGAAGCAGCAGUUGAAGAUUUUUAUUAUUUGUUCCAAUGAAAUGUUUGUUGUUGGUGACUUUAUUACUACCGUGAUUUCUUUGAUUAGACAACAUAUAAAGUCUCUGUUUUAACGGUGACAUCAAUUAAUCUAAUUAUUUGAUGUCCGUUAACAUAUUUUUUAUGCCUUGGAUUUUCUUUUGUAAGAUUUUUAAUGAGACAGAAACACUUGGGUUUUGGUCUAGUCCCCUCAAGGUUUCUUUGGUGAGAUUUGCUUUAAUAUAUUUUAUUAGGCUUUGGUUUCUUCAAAAAAAAUAAAAAUAAUUAUUAGGGUAUAUUUUAGUAUUUUAUUAGGGUAUUAUUUAGAUGCUUUUUAAGAGUCCCUACAUAGUUGGAAUGUCUCAUAUGUCACAUUUUGUACUAUUAUGUCCUUUAUAAAAAAAACUUA